rnacentral:SRP_RNA from 1 species
GCCGGGCGCGGUGGCGCGCGCCUGUAGUCCCAGCUACUCGGGAGGCUGAGGCUGGAGGAUCGCUUGAGGUCAGGAGUAGUGCGCUAUGCCGAUCGGGUGUCCGCACUAAGUUCGGCAUCAAUAUGGUGACCUCCCGGGAGCGGGGGACCACCAGGUUGCCUAAGGAGGGGUGAACCGGCCCAGGUCGGAAACGGAGCAGGUCAAAACUCCCGUGCUGAUCAGUAGUGGGAUCGCGCCUGUGAAUAGCCACUGUACUCCAGCCUGGGCAACAUAGCGAGACCCCGUCUCUU